rnacentral:misc_RNA from 1 species
GAUGAAGAACGUAGCGAAAUGCGAUAAGUAAUGUGAAUUGCAGAAUUCAGUGAAUCAUCGAAUCUUUGAACGCACCUUGCACCCUUUGGCAUUCCGAAGGGUAUGCUCGUUUGAGUGUCAUUGUACUCUCACACUCCCAAUUGCUUUGGAUUGGGAGCGGUGGACUUGGGUGUUGCUGCUUACCGUGGCUCGCCUCAAAUGGAGUAGUGCAACUCUUGGUUGGACAUAGUACGGCGUGAUAAGUGUCUUCGCCGGCGCCUCACUUUGUUGAGGGUGGCCGAUCGGGAGCUCUGUGCUUCAAACCGUCUUCGGACAACAACUGACAACUUGACCUCAAAUCGAGUAGGACUACCCGCUGAACUUAAGCAUAUCAAUAAGCGGAGGA